rnacentral:rRNA from 1 species
ACCAGACUCCUACGGGAGGCGGCAGUGGGGGAUAUUGCACAAUGGGGGGAACCCUGAUGCAGCGACGCCGCGUGGGUGAAGGAGCGUUUCGGCGCGUAAAGCCCUAUCGGCAGGGAAGAAGGAGGACGGUACCUGACUAAGAAGCCCCGGCUAACUACGUGCCAGCAGCCGCGGUAAUACGUAGGGGGCAAGCGUUAUCCGGAUUUACUGGGUGUAAAGGGGGCGCAGACGGCAGCGCAAGCCAGGAGUGAAAGCCCGGGGCUCAACCCUGGGACUGCUCUGGAAACUGUAAAGCUGGAGUGCGGGAGGGGCAGGCGGAAUUCCUGGUGUAGCGGUGAAAUGCGUAGAUAUCAGGAGGAACACCGGCGGCGAAGGCGGCCUGCUGGACCGUAACUGACGUUGAGGCUCGAAAGCGUGGGGAGCAAACAGGAUUAGAUACCCGAGUA